GGAUCAGUGGUACACACUUUUAAUCCAGCACUCAGGAAGCAGAGGCAGGGGGAGCUCUGUGAAUGCCAGGCUAACCACGGCUACAUAGUGAGACUCCAUCUCAAAAUAAAUCAAUAAGAGCCAAGUGUGGUGCCACUGAAAUCGGCUCUCAGAAGGUGGAGGCAGUGACAUCAGGAGUUUGGGGCUGGAGAGACAGCUCAGCAGCUAAGAACACUGUCUGCUCUUCCAGAGGUCCCGGCUUCAGUUCCCAGCACCCACAUUGCCGCUCACGACAGUAGCCACCGAAGGAGUAACAUGCCACACUGGAAUGUAAAAUUUUGCAGAUGCUGUAGAAAAUAUUAUGAUGGCUCCUCCAGAAGAUAAACAUAAAAUCAUUUUCUGAUCCAACAAUCCAACUUCUGAAUAUAUGUCUAAAAAGAGAGAGAGAGAGAGAGAUUGACAGAGCUACAAAAAAAGGAUUGUCAGACUAGACCGGCUCCCUGGAAGAAGCAGAAGCCAGGCAAGCUGCCCAGAAGAGGCUCAGACCCCCUGAGUCAGUGGGAAAGGACGCUUUCCAGCCUGGUGAGCUGCCUGUGCAGUGUGAGCUGCCAGUUGUGCCGGUGUAGGCUUUGGUGAUGUGGUUGUCUUUGAAUCAUCUCUGCUCCUGUAAGUCACCCCUCGUCCCUAUUCCUAUCAGUAGCCCCAAUAAAACUCAUUGAUUCACCAA